ACCUGUCCCGACAAGCACGCUGCGGGGCCAAGUGCGGGCAGCCUGCGUCACGCGCCAGCCCCCGCCUCCCGCGGCCGGAACCCGCGUGGCCGCGCCGAGUGGACGGCGCGGCCUCCAGUUAACCCGCGCGGCGCGGUGACCCUGUUGCCCCUGCCACCCCGGGGCACCCCAGUGGAAGCAGCCACGCAAACGGGCGAUGACCGCACAGAGGCAAACCCGCCACCCCAGACUCCGGGGUCAGGGGCAGGAGCCCCCCCACGGCUGGAGAAGUCGGCCAGGCCACCAUCCCCCACUAGCUGCCACCUCGCGCACCCUCCUCACUUUGACCUACAGGAUAUGGGAUUGCUGUCUCCAAAAAGUAACUUCUUCAAGGUCAGAAUCUUGGCAGUCUUCUUCCUGGUUGAAUCUUUAAAAAGAUAGGCUCCAUGCCCAACGUGGGGCUGGAACUCAGGACCCCAAGAUCAAGAAUCACAUGCUCCACAGACUAGGGCAGCCAGGUGCCCCUGCACUUUGAUUUUUAACACCUUCCAGACUUUUAGGAAAACUGCCGUUUGGAAACAGAGCCCGGCUGUGGCCUGUGGGGGCACCAGGGAAGUUGUUGGCUGAGCUGAGGAUAAACACCAGCGAUUCUAUUCUCAGUGACUGACUUCAACAUUAAUGCCAAUGCUUAUGACCGGAAAUCAGAUGAUGCAACGCAAAGCAGGAGCCUCAGAUUUUCAGAUGACAUGGGGCUUCAGGUGACAGCCAAGCCACUGGUUUGCCAGCCUGGAUGGGUGCAGCCCUGAGAAGGACCUGCAUCCCUCCUGUCCACGUGGGGGCGCGCUCCGGCUCAGCCUGGAAACGCAGGGAGCUGAAGUUCCAACGUUACACGCAUCAGUUGGGGGUUGAGGCCUCAGUCUCUCCGCCCAGCACCCAGCCCCCUGAUCUGUAGCCUGCAUGGUCCCUCAGGUGACUGCACCAGCCCCGGUUAAGCUGACCGCCAGCGGCACACGGCACAAACCUGCUGGGUUCCUCAAGAGAACCCUCUGCUGGUCCUUCUGCGAGCCCUGUCUCAUUUCACGCCCUCACAGAGCUUCCUGGAAUCACCUCCUGGGGCGGUGAUGAGACUCCAUUACCAGUGAGCUCAGGCAUCUUUUCAAGUGUUCAUAAGGACUGUUUCCGCAUCAUCUUCUGUGAGUGGAAUCUUCUAUGAGAAUCUGUGGAUAUUUAACGUGUCUUCCUCAGAGCAUCCUAAUUCCAUCCGGUAGUGGCCACUUGUGUUCUGUUUUAUCAGUCUCCUGUGAAGUCAGAUUCACAGCCUUUGACCUAAAGGAAGCCAACAGGUGAACUCCUCUGGGCCAUGCUGAUUGGUUGAGGACAGGGCUCAUGACCCAUGAAGGGUCAGCCAGAGAAAACAAGUCCCCAUUCCUUGAUGUCUUUUCAAGCUAUUGGACAGAGAAACUCUGCCUUCCUCUACAUUUGAUUCAGUGAAGUGGCCAUGUAACACCCAGAGGAGCCAGGAAAUGAAACCCCACAGAGAAGGCAAAGAUGAUGAAUGCAGAGAUUCUGAGUCCGGAUGGUAUUAUCUGAGCUGCUGGGUCCAGCCUCGUCCAGAGACAAACUACGCUUGAAUUCCCUGGUGGUGUAUAAAUGAAUACAUUCUUUGUUUCAAUUAUCCUUA